rnacentral:rRNA from 1 species
GAUGAACGCUGGCGGCGUGCCUAAUACAUGCAAGUCGAGCGGACGGGCGAGGAGCUUGCUUCUCUGAUGUUUGCGGCGGACGGGUGAGUAACGCGUGUAUACCCUACCUAUAAUACUGGUAUAACUUCGGGAAACCGGAGCUAAUAGCGGAUAAUAUUUUGAACCGCAUUGUUCGAAAGUGAAAUACGGUCUUGCUGGCUCUUAUAGAUGGAUCCGCGCUUCAUUAGCUAGUUGGUAAGGUAACCGCUUACCAAGGCAACGAGGCAUAGACGACGUGAGAGGGUGAUAGGCGACCCUAGAACGGAGACACGGACCAGACUACUACGGGAGGCAGCAGUCGCGAAUCUUCGGCAAUGGGCGAAAGCAUGACGGAAUAACGCCGAGCCAGUGAUGAAGGCCUCCGGAUCGUAAAACUCUGCUAUUAGGGAAGAACAUCUGUGUAAGUAAACGUGCACAUAUUGACGGUAACUAAUAAGAAAGCAACGGCUAACUACGUG